ACAUAAUAAUCAUUGUUGGAGACUACAGAACUAAAUUUCUCUUUUUUCAAAUGUGGAAAUAUUUCCAAUUAUGGCAGUAGCCGCAGUACCCUUUCACAGAAUAUUGGAAGCUUCAUCUGAGGUUAGCAAUAGCAAAAUAACCACAUUGUGCCAACACAUAUACAAAUCUUCACGUAUGUAUAACAAGGAUGAGAGAUCUGUUUUCACUGCUAG